GACGUGCUUUAGGAGAAUAAGUCUUAUAGACCGUAGCUCCGCUAAUGGCUAGUUUCAUCACAUGGAUUGGGAUUGGAUCCCCGUUAUUGAUAAUCAAGAAUGUGGCCAGAUGUCGCCAGCCAAUAAAAAAGAAGUCCGUCCUCUUGGUGCGAUUGUCUUUCGAUUCUCUUUGUUUCCGCGCCGGCGGUCAAGUUGGCUUUUCCAAUCCAACCGAUGAAGCAAGGGAAGCGCUAUUGGCGUUUUCGUGAUCCUGAGCUGAGGC